UUAAUUCAAUAUAAAUUGUUACAUAAAGUACAAAACCUUAAUUAUAUCUAUAAUAAAACCAGUGUAAAAACUUAUAACUCGAAGACUAAACUAUAAUAUGUGUUUUGAAAAGUCCUAAUUAUUUUGGCUGAUAUGGUUUAUUUGAUAAUUUAAAAAAAAUGUGUAAAUCUUUAAACAAUAAUGUGUUAUGUUUUAAGUUGAUUAAAAAUGGC
rnacentral:lncRNA from 1 species